AUGUUAACGAAGCGACUCUAACAUCGGUUUUGAAGAAAACCGAUGUUAGAGUUGAUUCGUUAACAU
rnacentral:pre_miRNA from 1 species